CGCGGCCUAUCAGCUUGUUGGUGAGGUAAUGGCUCACCAAGGUUUCGACGGGUAGCCGGCCUGAGAGGGCGACCGGCCACACUGGGACUGAGAUACGGCCCAGACUCCUACGGGAGGCAGCAGUGGGGAAUAUUGCACAAUGGGCGCAAGCCUGAUGCAGCAACGCCGCGUGCGGGAUGACGGCCUUCGGGUUGUAAACCGCUUUCAGUAGGGACGAAGCUAACGUGACGGUACCUACAGAAGAAGGACCGGCUAACUACGUGCCAGCAGCCGCGGUGAUACGUAGGGUCCGAGCGUUGUCCGGAAUUAUUGGGCGUAAAGGGCUUGUAGGCGGUCCGUCGCGUCAGGAGUGAAAACUCGGGGCUUAACCCCGAGCCUGCUUUUGAUACAGGCGGACUAGAGGGAUGCAGGGGAGAACGGAAUUCCUGGUGGAGCGGUGGAAUGCGCAGAUAUCAGGAGGAACACCGGUGGCGAAGGCGGUUCUCUGGGCAUCACCUGACGCUGAGAAGCGAAAGCGUGGGGAGCAAACAGGCUUAGAUACCCUGGUAGUCCACGCCGUAAACGGUGGGCACUAGGUGUGGGGGACAUUCCACGUUCUCCGUGCCGAAGCUAAUGCAUUAAGUGCCCCGCCUGGGGAGUACGG
rnacentral:rRNA from 1 species